rnacentral:rRNA from 1 species
CCUACGGGUGGCAGCAGUGGGGGAUAUUGCACAAUGGGGGCAACCCUGACGCAGCGAUGCCGCGUGGGUGAAGAAGCGCUUCGGAGCGUAAAGCUCUGUCAGACGUGACGAUGAUGACGGUAGCUGCUAAAGAAGCACCGGCAAACUUCGUGCCAGCAGCCGCGGUAAUACGUAGGGUGCGAGCGUUAUUCGGAUUUACUGGGUGUAAAGGGAGUGCAGGCGGCGAUGCAAGCUAGCAGUGAAAUGCCGGGGCCCAACCCCGGGACUGCCAUUAGGACUGCGUGUCUAGAGUGAAGGAGGGGCUGGCGGAAUACCCGGUGUAGCGGUGAAAUGCGUAGAUAUUGGGUGGAACACCGGUGGCGAAGGCGGCCAUCUGGAC